ensembl:lncRNA
AGCACCCCAGAGAUGUUGCAUAGAAGCCAACCUCAGCAGAUACCUGCCAAUAGCAUCACACUUGCUUUGGGCCCUGAGCCUCUCCCGGCUUCCCCUGAAAAUUUAGACUGUAUCCAAAUCUCGAACACUAACAAAAUCAUCUGAUGAUUGUAUUGUUUUUUUAACACAUAGCUAGUCACCUUCCAAUGAUGUAGCCGGAUGUUUAUCAGCUCCCUUUAAAGGCACUUUUUUCCCCCUUUAGUUCCUUUUUUAAAGAAGGUUUUAAGGUGUAACAACCCUUUCUGUCCCCGGGAGAGACCGUCAGCAGCAUUUAGGAUUGCCCAGGUCCUGGGGCUGGCGGGGACCUAGUGUUGAUAUUUUUUCCUUAUGAAAGGGACAGGAAAUACUCUUUGGGUUUUUUUUUCAAGUGCAGUCAUACUAUUUGAGAUUCAAGCUUGCACGAGUUAAGCCCAGCAUAUGUUUUGUUGUAAUCACACUGCCGUUGUCAGCAGCCGGAUGGUAUCUCUCUCUCGCUCACACACACACACAAAAACACACACAUCACUCCUUCCUGCACAGAGAACUGCAUAUAUUCUUGCCAAAGAUAUCCUUAAAAACGCACUUUCCCCCAUAUAUAUAUAGAUAUAUAUAUAUUAUUUUUUUUGUGUGUGUGUAAAUUUAAUGUACGUGCCCUUUUUGUGUCAGUUUGUUCUUUGGAGAAGCCCGUCCUGCCUUUGCUGUUGAUAUUGCUGUCUAUUGGGAAAUGCUCCCUGGGGAGGUAAUUUGCUGUCUGUCCUGCUCAGUGGCACCUGCAAUGCACAAAAUGUGGGGUUCCCAUUAAAUGGGGCUGCCUUUGGCUUUGCCCCUGGGAGCUAUUUUGGGAAAUGAUCCAUAUCAUCAGCUGCUGAUGGGAUGUACCAUUGCAUGGUCUUCACCAGCCCCUCAUCACCGCUGGAGACAGCAGGGCUCGUGGUUUUGAGCAGAGUUUGGGGUUGCUCUGAAUGCAACAUUUGCUGGCUGCCUCCUGGUCAAAUUACACAUGGAAAACAAACCAGGUAGGGAGAAAAACCCAACCCAGCCUCUGGGCAUUGAUUUUUCAGUGAAUUCAACCGCCUGAACCAAAGCGCAAAGUAAAUCCCCACCCAGCAGGUCGGGCAGGUAAAGAAACCAGUUGCCCCAAAAACCCCAGACAACAGCAUCAACAAAAGGCAACCCUUCCCAUUGGAGCAGGCAGGAUGAUCAGACAGCAAAGGAGCCCGCAGGGGCUUGUUUCAUUUUGUUCGUUUGUUUUGCAAAUUGCGAGGUUGGUUUGGGGUUACUAUUUUUUUUUCUUUUCCUUAAAAAGGAAAAAAAAAAAAAGAAAGAAAAAAGGAAGCAAUAUGACGUUUCUGUUGGCGGAUCCUGCGCCGCUGUGUUAUGCGUGGGGUUUAUUUUUUUUUGUUGUUGUUGUCUUUGUUACUUUGGGAAUGUUACAGAUUUAUUUGCUAAUCAGUGUUAACAAACAGUUUCAAACUUUUAGACUCGCCCAUUUCUGUGUAUUUAUAUAGAUGGAAAAAAAAAUACAUUAUAUUUUGUAUCUUUAUGCCCAUAAUGUUGUCGUGCGUGUAAGGAUGGCUUCGGUCGCACCAUGUCCGUGUGUGAAUGUCACUCCGCUAUUGUCUUCCCAUUGUACAGAUGUCGGAUUCUUUGCAGUUCAUUGUAUUGCUUUAUAAAGUGGUAAAAACAACAAAAAAAGAACCAGUUAUAUAAAAUAUACUGUUGCU